GAGCGUAUGCUACUUUUGCUACAGUUUAAAAGUUGGUAUUUGGUUGCAUAUUGACUGCGCAUCUUCCCUUUUAGUGGACAGCAAAUUAUUGCGACGGUGCUAAAUAAUAUAUCUUGUUUUUAGUAAAAGCAGAGUUUGAAGCAGACUAA
rnacentral:rRNA from 11 species